UUCUAACAAAUGUUCCUUGCUCAGCUUCUUUUUGUAAACAAGAACCAGUCUUCAGUUCUUAAUGUUAAUUGCAAGAAUUUAAAAGGACAUCUGGGCUGGCUGCGAUCGGAUGUGGUUUGCAAAGUGAAAUGACCACGAAACUCCUUGCCUGUAUUAGCCAAAUGCAAGACAAUGGGGCUGUGUUAAUUUUCCUGCUUUAAAUCAGAGAUUGUCUGCCUGGUGUCAGUGGUUGCAUAACCAGGACCUGAGAUAUGUACCAGCUGCUCAUACGACCAUCUAACACCUGCUCCCGUGGCUUCACGUGACCCUGAUUUGGGGGGUGGGGCACCUAACAAGAGUGACUUUCAGACCUGCGAAGGCUGUUAUGGGAACACCAAUGCCCUUGAAUGGAAAAACGCACAGGAAGUAGUGGAUACAGCCUAGUCCAUCAUGUGCAAACCCUCCCCACCAUUGAGCACGUCUGCAAGGAGCGCUGUCAUAGAAUAAAGAAAGAGUGACCAGAAACAUAUAUAACAUGAACUGCAGAGUCUAAUCCAUAAACCGCAUUGAUUAAUCCUUGCCGUCGCAUGUCCGCAGAAGGUGUGAAACCCCUCCCAUCAAAACCUGGCCACAGUUAUGGAUUCCCACUGCCCUGCACUACUAACAAACAACAGGAGUGUUCCGCAUGGUGAAUUUUUAUCACUGUAUCAUUCUGCAAGCUGCUGAACUUGUGCUUGCCUGUUUCUCUGCUUAAAGGCUAUGCUUUGGUUGGACGUGUGUGGCAGCCGCUUGCUUUCUUCAGCUGCCAGCUCUGUCACCCUGAAAGGGAGUACAAUACUUCUGGCAGUGAGCUUCUCGGUCUAUCUGGCUGUCCACCAUUUUUGUUUUCUUUUAGAGAGUCUCCAUUUCACAGCACUCGUUGACCAUAAACCCCUUGUGCACAUGAUGGCCAAAAUAUCAGACCUUUUGGUCUGUAUGGCAGCAACGCCAUUUGGCCUACAUAUCCGAGUUCACAACUGAAAUACAACAUCUCGAGCGGAAAAGUAAUGCUGUGGCUGACUACCUCUCACGGGCAGCCAUAAGGCCAUACAUAAAGGGGUUGACUAUGCCGGCAUGGCAGCCAACCAAGCUACUAACCCAAAGGUCCAGGCUUACUGAACAGCGGUCAUAUGGGCCUAUGGUUGACUGACGUUAAGUCGGGGAAGUUGGGGUUUCUCUGCAGUGGCAAGAAUCAGCCCCAGACACUGCAGUGACUACCUGGUAUGACAAAAUCUUCUUGAAUUGGAAAGGAUGGAUUCAGAUUUAUUUCUCACACCUACAUGGAAACAUAAAGUGAAAUGUGUCAUUUGCAUUAACAAACCACACACCCAAGGAUGUGUUGCGAGCACCCGUAAAUGUCACCACCCAUGCUGGCACCAACACAGCAUGCCCAUAAUGUUACCCAGCUACCUUGGUUACAUAAGGACUAACAUCAUAUGUGGGAAUACGAAGGUUCUGCAGAGGGUCUGUGAACAACUCAAGAGCAAGACAAAACUCAGACCACAAGUGUACAGAAGGUUAAAGAGAUCAGAAAGCUGGAUAUGUGACCUAAAGACUGCAAGGGGUAGAAAUGGGUUUAAUUAGUUGAGGAAAGGAGUAGCUGUUUCCCUGGGGUGGGCUUCAACUGAAUCAGACUGAGACCAGUGCCUUGUCAACCAAAUAACAAGAGCCAUUCUCAACACUCAACCUGAACAGUUAGUAUGCAGAAAUGGUUCUAGUGAUGGGAGAUUUGGAAAGUUAAAGAGAAAGUUAUUACCCUGUAAUACUCAGGCUCCUGAACUAGCAUGUACAACUUCACUUAUCGACUGAUUCCACCACCUAGUCUCACUUUCAAGGAUACUGUUUUAUAUAUAUCAGAGAUGCACACACGUUGAACUAGUUGCACUGAUGUAAUGUGUGGCAUUUGAGUUACUGUCACCUUCCUGUCAGUUUGAACCAGUCUGGCCAUAUUUCUCUGACCUCUGACCUCUUUCAUUAACAGGGUAUUUUUGCCCACAGAGUUGCCACUCACCAGAUGCUUUACUUUUGUUUGUCCCUCCAUUCUCUGUAGACUCUAGUGACUGUUGUGCAUAACCCCCCAAGAGAUCAGCAGUUUCUGAGGUACUCAAGCCACCCAUUCUGGCACCAACAAUCAUUCCACGGUCAAGGUCACUUAGAUCAUAUUUCUUCCCUAUUCUGAUAGUUGGUAUGAACAUUAACUGAACCUCUUCACCAUGUCUGCAUGCUUUUAUGCAUUGAGUUGCUGCCACAUGAUUAGAUAGUUGCAUUUAUGAAUAGGUGUACAGCUGUCCCUAAUAAUGUGGCCACUGAGUGUGCUCGUUCCCCUUCACAUAACAGUUAAAGAAGUAAAGCCAACCCCAACAUCUUUCUUUUAGAAAAACUGUUUCACAGCACUUUGAAGUAUAGUGUGUGAUGUCUGGCAUGUUAGAUGCAGGAAUCUUCAUACAUUUCAUCCACAUCAUUUGGUGUAAUGACUUGUUCUACUUUCAGCCAGUUUCUUUAACCAAGAGCAGGUGUCACAGCAGGUAACAGGAGGCUUCCUUUGAGCCUUAUGAUUAAAUAUGAUACUUUCUGUACCAGAAGAUGUAAAGUUCAAUUUCACAAGAUUUCUCUGAGUAUUAGAUGAUUUCUGAACUGAUUCAUUUUCUAGAACAGAGACUAAACUUUAAAAAAAACUUCACCUUUGUAAGAUACUUUAGGAUGUCUUAAACUUGUGAAAAAUGCUUAUCUUUCUGUCUUUGCAAUAUACUCACCUGGACUAUGGAAAAACUUAUUUUACACUUUCUUAUUGAGAGUAACUAGUUUGUACUUUUCCUUGGUGCAUAAAAUAUUUUUUUUCAUUUUAUGCCAAGUGAAGUUGCUUGUAAAAAUCAAAUUGCUACAUUUAGCAAAAGUAAUAUUGAAGAAUGUCGGCCGUCUCAUAUAGAGAAAAGACAUGCUAAUGUGGGAUGUGUUUGCUAAUCUCUGAACGAAGUGCAGGUUUUGUACAAAGCAUUCUGAGAAUGAUCCUGACCAUGAUUACUUACAUCAUACA